rnacentral:rRNA from 1 species
AUUGAACGCUGGCGGCAUGCCUUACACAUGCAAGUCGAACGGCAGCACGGAGCUUGCUCUGGUGGCGAGUGGCGAACGGGUGAGUAAUAUAUCGGAACGUACCCAAGAGUGGGGGAUAACGUAGCGAAAGUUACGCUAAUACCGCAUACGAUCUAAGGAUGAAAGUGGGGGAUCGCAAGACCUCAUGCUCCUGGAGCGGCCGAUAUCUGAUUAGCUAGUUGGUGAGGUAAAGGCUCACCAAGGCAUCGAUCAGUAGCUGGUCUGAGAGGACGACCAGCCACACUGGAACUGAGACACGGUCCAGACUCCUACGGGAGGCAGCAGUGGGGAAUUUUGGACAAUGGGGGCAACCCUGAUCCAGCAAUGCCGCGUGAGUGAAGAAGGCCUUCGGGUUGUAAAGCUCUUUUGUCAGGGAAGAAACGGUGAAGGCUAAUAUCCUUUGCUAAUGACGGUACCUGAAGAAUAAGCACCGGCUAGCUACGUGCCAGCCGCCGCCGUAA